rnacentral:rRNA from 1 species
AUACGGAGGAUGCAAGCGUUAUCCGGAUUUAUUGGGUUUAAAGGGUGCGUAGGCGGGACUGUAAGUCAGGGGUGAAAUACUGCAGCUUAACUGUAGCAUUGCCUUUGAAACUGCCGUUCUUGAGUACAGUUGAGGUAGGCGGAAUGGGGUGUGUAGCGGUGAAAUGCAUAGAUAUACCACAGAACGCCGAUUGCGAAGGCAGCUUACUAAGCUGUUACUGACGCUGAGGCACGAAAGCGUGGGGAUCAAACAGGAUUAGAUACCCUGGUAGUCCACGCUGUAAACGAUGAUUACUGGUUGUUAGCGAUAUAUAGCUAGUGACUGAGCGAAAGCAUUAAGUAAUCCACCUGGGGAGUACGUCGGCAACGAUGAAACUCAAAGGAAUUGACGGGG